AAACUUUCAACAACGGAUCUCUUGGUUCUCGCAUCGAUGAAGAACGCAGCGAAACGCGAUAGUUAAUGUGAAUUGCAGAAUUCAGUGAAUCAUCGAGUCUUUGAACGCACAUUGCGCCCAUCGGUAUUCCGAUGGGCAUGUCUGUUUGAGCGUCAUU
rnacentral:rRNA from 1 species